rnacentral:rRNA from 1 species
UGGGGAAUAUUGCACAAUGGGGGAAACCCUGAUGCAGCGACGCCGCGUGAGCGAAGAAGGUUUUCGAAUCGUAAAGCUCUGUCCUAUGAGAAGAUAAUGACGGUAUCAUAGGAGGAAGCCCCGGCUAAAUACGUGCCAGCAGCCGCGGUAAUACGUAUGGGGCGAGCGUUGUCCGGAAUUAUUGGGCGUAAAGGGUACGUAGGCGGUCUAUUAAGUCAGGUGUGAAAGCGUGAGGCUUAACCUCAUUAAGCACUUGAAACUGAUAGACUUGAGUGAAGGAGAGGAAAGUGGAAUUCCUAGUGUAGCGGUGAAAUGCGUAGAUAUUAGGAGGAAUACCGGUGGCGAAGGCGACUUUCUGGACGAACACUGACGCUGAGGCGCGAAAGCCAGGGGAGCGAACGGG